rnacentral:lncRNA from 1 species
UGACAGUGUUCCAUUGGCGGGUGAGUGUUCCAUGAGAGGGUGACAGUGUUCCAUUGGUGGGUGACUGUUCCAUGAGAGGGUGACAGCAUUCCAUUGGCAGGUGACUGUUCCAUGAGAGGGUGACAGUGUUCCAUUGGCGGGUGACUGUUCCAUGAGAGGGUGACAGUGUUGCAUUGGCAGGUGACUGUUCCAUGAAAGGGUAGCAGCAUUCCAUUGGUGGGUGACAGUGUUCCAUUGGUGGGUGACAGUGUUCCAUUGGUGGGUGGCAGUGUUCCAUUGGUGGGUGACAGCGUUCCAUUGCUGGGUGACUGUUCCAUGAGAGGGUGAGAGCGUUCCAUUGCUGGGUGACUGUUCCAUGAGAGGGUGACAGCGUUCCAUUGGCAGGUGACAGUGUUCCAUUGGUGGGAGACACUGUUGCAUGCAGAUGACAGCAUUCCAUUGGUGGGUGACAGUGUUCCAUUGGUGGGAGACACUGUUGCAUGCAGAUGACAGCAUUCCAUUGGUGGGUGACUGUUCCAUGAGAGGGUGACAGUGUUCUGUUAGCAGGUGACAGUGUUCCAUUGGCAGGUGACGGUGUUCCACUGGUGGGUGACAGUGUUCCAUGAGAGAGUGACAGCAUUCUAUUGGUGAGUGAUAGUGUUCCAUUGGUGGGAGACACUGUUCCAUGGGGAUGACAGCAUUCCAUUGGUGGAUGACAGUUUCUAUGGGAGGGUGACAGUGUUCCAUGGGGGUGACAGCAUUCCAUGGGAAGGUGACAGUGUUCCAUGGGGGUGAUAGUGUUCCAUUGGUGGGUGACAGUUUCUAUGGGAGGGUGUCAGUGUUCCAUGGGAGGGUGACAGUGUUCCAUUGAUGGGUGACACUGUUCCAUAGGGGUGACAGCAUUCCACUGGUGGGCAAUGAGCUGGGUGGUGACAUGGGCCCCAGCAGGGGAGAGUUAGUGGGGCUGAAAGAGUAAAUGGCACAGCCGAGGCCAGGGCCUGUCUACAGAACAGGAGACCCCAUGUGUAGGUGACUGGGGCCCAGCUGGCUUGAGUGGAGGCUGC